rnacentral:rRNA from 1 species
CCACGCCGUAAACGAUGAUUACUAGGUGUAGGGGGUAUCGACUCCCUCUGUGCCGCAGUUAACGCAUUAAGUAAUCCACCUGGGGAGUACGGCCGCAAGGUUAAAACUCAAAGGAAUUGACGGGGGCCCGCACAAGCAGUGGAGUAUGUGGUUUAAUUCGAAGCAACGCGAAGAACCUUACCAGGGCUUGACAUCCUCUGCCCGCUUUAGAGAUAAAGCUUUUCUUCGGAACAGAGAGACAGGUGGUGCAUGGUUGU